UGUUGGUGUGGUAAUAAUAUUAGAGCUGGCAAUCUUUCCUACUGAAUCUCUACUCUGAGUCAUGUUACCUGAGAUUAAUUCUAUGUUUACCUGUCAGCCUGGACACAUGUGCUGUGUGAAGGAUAACAGUUCUCCACAGUCACUGUCCACAUGGGUCAGUGGGACCAAGCAGCACUCUGCUAAUGUGGGACUCUGACCAGCAACAUCCAGCAAGACCCAGGCAGCGUUUUCUAUCUCCCAGCUGGAGUUUUUUGUUUGUCUGUGACUGGAGAGUCAGAUUUUUGUUGAGGCUGGAGGAACAGCCUCACACUUGCAGAGGUUAAUACACGCUACUGAUCCCUGAUGGGAGAAUCAUCACCUCUGCCAACAAAGAAGCCUGGUGGAUGUUUGUUUGCAGUCUGAUAAUGGGACAUCAUGCUGUGCAUCUUCAAAGUUUGUCUCUUGAUUAUUAUUCAUACACAGUAAUGUGAAGCAUGCUUAUAUCUAGUAUAACUGGACCAACCUGGUGCUCUUCAUUUAUGGAGGCUGUUGAGUCUGAAUGUUGGAUGUUGUGUAUCUCUUGUUCUCUGGGCUUUGUUGUCCUCAGUCUUUUUGCAGGAUCAGAAAACAAAAUCAGGAGGCCUGUAAAUGUUUCUUUUCCAGUUGGAUGAUGAUAAGACUGUGACACGGGAUGCCACCUUUAGUCUUGUGAUGAAGCAAAGCUCAGGAAGAAGUGUGAUUAAAUGGUACCCAAAU